rnacentral:ncRNA from 1 species
UCCGACUGUUCAAUUAAAACAAAGCAUCGCGAAGGCCCGCGGCGGGGGUUGAGGCGAUGUGAUUUCUGCCCGGUGCUCUGAAUGUCACAGUGAAGAAAUUCAAUGACGCGCGGGUAAAUGGCGGGAGUAACUAUGACUGUGAUACUGCGAAACACAAUACCAGUAACCGAAGAUGUGCAAUGUACUUUCAAUGCCAUGCAAGAUUACGGGCACUCUUCUUGAAUAGUUGAAAUGCAUGGAGGUAAAAGUUGGA